rnacentral:misc_RNA from 1 species
CGAUUUUAACACCGUUGGUUGAAUGCUAUUAAUUCGUUGAUCACCGUUGAUCACCAAUCAACUUCAUCGGAUCAACGUUGAAUCAACAGUGAUGUGCACAACGGUUAAUUAUGGCGUUUUCAAAAGUAAAAUGGAUAGAACCACAUGCAAAUGGAUCUAGUAAAAUCCAGUAUGGGACGGUGCCAACAAACUGGAUUGAAGAAGAAGAAGGGCAAGAGUUUAUUCGUUGGCCUUGCAAUGCUAAAGAUGUAGAGCCGUACAUAAAGCGUUGCCAAAAUCCUGGCAUUAAUUGGUUGUUUUUUGUUUUAGUUCAACAUUUUGGGAGUGCAGACAGUUACAUAAAUUGUGAAUCAAUUAAAACAUGCUCAGAAUCUGAAUCUGACCACAAUUCGCAAUUGGGGAAAAGGAAAUACAACCAAAUAGAUUCAUUUGCCUAUCAAAAGCAAUCAGAAAAAAGAUUAGCUAAUGCAAGAAAAUCGAAAACAAAGAAAUUGAGUUAUAUAAAAACAAGUGACGAUGAAGUCAGUUUUUCCAGUACACCAUUUCCAAAAUUAGACGAUAAUGGUUCUUCUUGUGUAUACUCAUACAACAAUUCAGCAACAAUUAGUUCCAGUGAAGGGUUAAUUAUGGCGUUUUCAAAAGUAAAAUGGAUAGAACCACAUGCAAAUGGAUCUAGUAAAAUCCAGUAUGGGACGGUGCCAACAAACUGGAUUGAAGAAGAAGAAGGGCAAGAGUUUAUUCGUUGGCCUUGCAAUGCUAAAGAUGUAGAGCCGUACAUAAAGCGUUGCCAAAAUCCUGGCAUUAAUUGGUUGUUUUUUGUUUUAGUUCAACAUUUUGGGAGUGCAGACAGUUACAUAAAUUGUGAAUCAAUUAAAACAUGCUCAGAAUCUGAAUCUGACCACAAUUCGCAAUUGGGGAAAAGGAAAUACAACCAAAUAGAUUCAUUUGCCUAUCAAAAGCAAUCAGAAAAAAGAUUAGCUAAUGCAAGAAAAUCGAAAACAAAGAAAUUGACUUAUAUAAAAACAAGUGACGAUGAAGUCAGUUUUUCCAGUACACCAUUUCCAAAAUUAGACGAUAAUGGUUCUUCUUGUGUAUACUCAUACAACAAUUCAGCAACAAUUAGUUCCAGUGAAGGGUUAAUUAUGGCGUUUUCAAAAGUAAAAUGGAUAGAACCACAUGCAAAUGGAUCUAGUAAAAUUCAGUAUGGGACGGUGCCAACAAACUGGAUUGAAGAAGAAGAAGGGCAAGAGUUUAUUCGUUGGCCUUGCAAUGCUAAAGAUGUAGAGCCGUACAUAAAGCGUUGCCAAAAUCCUGGCAUUAAUUGGUUGUUUUUUGUUUUAGUUCAACAUUUUGGGAGUGCAGACAGUUACAUAAAUUGUGAAUCAAUUAAAACAUGCUCAGAAUCUGAAUCUGACCACAAUUCGCAAUUGGGGAAAAGGAAAUACAACCAAAUAGAUUCAUUUGCCUAUCAAAAGCAAUCAGAAAAAAGAUUAGCUAAUGCAAGAAAAUCGAAAACAAAGAAAUUGACUUAUAUAAAAACAAGUGACGAUGAAGUCAGUUUUUCCAGUACACCAUUUCCAAAAUUAGACGAUAAUGGUUCUUCUUGUGUAUACUCAUACAACAAUUCAGCAACAAUUAGUUCCAGUGAAGGGUUAACUUGUGAAAAAAUAAUUAAUAAAGAAAAUGGUAAAAGUGCUGGGGAAACAGAUAAAGACUAUAUUUCUGAUCAGACUUGUGUAAAUUAACAUAGUUGGAAUUAUAUUUAUCUUAAUUUCUGCAAAGCUUUUAAACGAACAAUGUUAGCAGCAAUAGCACGUCUAGAAAAAAACUUCAAUGACUUUAAAGCCUCAUUUAAGCAGAAUGAUUUAAAAACUUUAGUCAAACCGUUACAUCUAUCAAAACUGCAAUUUGAUGAAAUCUUGGAUCUGGAAGUUUUUCUUUCAGCUGAUAGUAAAAGAAAGGAUUCUGCAGUAGAAUCAUUAUGUAAUGUGGGUGGAAAAUCUACAAUAGAUAUUACAUACAAUGUUAU